UAGCAAUUCAAAAUAAUCAACCCACUUUAAUUGAUAAAAAUGAGGUAAAAUAUUUAGGUAUAAUGAUUAACAAGGACCACACUGGAAAUUAUAGAACAAAUAUUCAAACCAUUUUACAAA